UACAGAGGGGGCAAGCGUUGUUCGGAAUUACUGGGCGUAAAGGGCGCGUAGGCGGCCCGCUAAGUCGAACGUGAAAUCCCCGAGCUCAACUCGGGAACUGCGUCCGAUACUGGUGGGCUUGAAUCCGGGAGAGGGAUGCGGAAUUCCAGGUGUAGCGGUGAAAUGACGUAGAUAUCUGGAGGAACACCGGUGGCGAAGGCGGCAUCCUGGACCGGUAUUGACGCUGAGG
rnacentral:rRNA from 1 species